rnacentral:sRNA from 1 species
CUGGAACCAUUGUAAUAUAUUACCCUGCAUAAUCAAUUUGAUAAAGUCUAAAUCAUACAUUAUAAAUAGCAUCAAGACCAAUAUGGGGACCAAGGAAGGGUUCAAAGUUCAAAGGAAAUAUAGGAUUGCAUACAAUCAUGUAUAUACAUAAGGACAAAUCAUAAAUCAUUUCAGAAUCUGCAGUGUUGUUAAGUCCAAUAUCAGAUAAUAUGAUUUAAAGAAUUAUUAUAAUUAAGUAUCAAAUUUCAUUUUAUACCUGUAAUCAUUUGAAAGAUUCUCCUAUUUUCCGACACCCAUUUUAAUGCAAUACCUUGCAAAUCAGACAAAACUUUUAAAGAUUGAUAGAGGAAAUUCAAAUUAAUAACAAUCAGUAUAUGAUUUUUAUGAAACCUGUGAUUUAUUUGGUUUGAUUGUAUUUUAAAUCUUUCAACAAAGGCUUAAUAAAGAUUGUGUGU